GUCCCCAUAGUUCAGUGGAUAGAAUACGAGCUUGCGGAGCUCGGGACGGAAGUUCGACUCUUCCUGGGGACA
rnacentral:tRNA from 1 species